rnacentral:tRNA from 1 species
GGGCCGGUAGCUCAGCGGUCAGAGCAGCGGACUCAUAAUCCGUAGGUCGUAGGUUCGAUCCCUACCCGGCCCA